UACGGAGGGUGCGAGCGUUGUCCGGAAUCAUUGGGCGUAAAGGGCGCGUAGGUGGCGGGACAAGCGUGCGGUGAAAGCUCGGGGCUCAACCCCGCGUCGGCCGUGCGAACUGUUUUGCUUGAGCACUGUAGAGGCAGGCGGAAUUCCGGGUGUAGCGGUGGAAUGCGUAGAGAUCCGGAAGAACACCAGUGGCGAAGGCGGCCCGCUGGGCAGUGGCUGACGCUGAGGCGCGACAGCGUGGGGAGCAAACAGG
rnacentral:rRNA from 1 species